UACAGAGGUCUCAAGCGUUGUUCGGAUUCAUUGGGCGUAAAGGGUGCGUAGUGGCGCCGUAAGUCAGGUGUGAAAUUUCGGAGCUUAACUCCGAAACUGCAUUUGAUACUGCGGUGCUUGAGGACUGGAGAGGAGACUGGAAUUCACGGUGUAGCAGUGAAAUGCGUAGAUAUCGUGAGGAAGACCAGUGGCGAAGGCGGGUCUCUGGACAGUUCCUGACACUGAGGCACGAAGGCUAGGGGAGCAAACGGG
rnacentral:rRNA from 1 species